GACGAACGCUGGCGGCGUGCUUAACACAUGCAAGUCGAACGGAAAGGCCCUGCUUUUGUGGGGUGCUCGAGUGGCGAACGGGUGAGUAACACGUGAGUAACCUGCCCUUGACUUUGGGAUAACUUCAGGAAACUGGGGCUAAUACCGGAUAGGAGCUCCUGCUGCAUGGUGGGGGUUGGAAAGUUUCGGCGGUUGGGGAUGGACUCGCGGCUUAUCAGCUUGUUGGUGGGGUAGUGGCUUACCAAGGCUUUGACGGGUAGCCGGCCUGAGAGGGGGACCGGCCGCAUUAGGACUGAGAUACGGCCCAGACUCCUACGGGAGGCAGCAGUGGGGAGUAUUGCACAAUGGGCGGAAGCCUGAUGCAACAACGCCGCGUGCGGGAUGACGGCCUUCGGGUUGUAAACCGCUUUCGCCUGUGACGAAGCGUGAGUGACGGUAAUGGGUAAAGAAGCACCGGCUAACUACGUG
rnacentral:rRNA from 1 species